GUAAUAAUUGAUUAUAGAUUUAUGACGGUGUCUCCUUUUUUACAAGCUUGUGACAAACUGUACAUAUAUAAAUCACAAGAACAUUAAUUGAUUUGUGGUACAAUCGGUAUCUUAUGACACCGCAGAUAAGAAUGUUGACAUGUGGUCAACCUAACAAAUUAGGUACCUCUGCUGACAUAUCAACUACUACCUCUGUUUCACGUGGAUGCUCGUAAAUCUAAUUAUAUACAAACCAUGUAUAUUGCAAUAUUUCAGAUGAAUCUUAACAUAGCCAAAAUAUCUUACAGUAUGAAACAGAGGGUGUAUAAUUGAACCCAACUGAAUUGAAGAAAAUUAAGAAAAACAAUUGCUAUUAGCAUUUGGUAUCCCUCCGUGUCUACCAAAGUCUGUUUUCCGCCUUUCGGUUCAGCUGCAUUUUGAUAGGUUAAAAACUUAAAAUCACCAGGUAGUCAAGCAGUGACUCUAGUACAGUUCUUAGAGAUGACAACAUUCACGUGAAAAGCAAAGUAAUUUCAGGGUGUUCAACAAUUCAAUUAUUAAACUAAUUAAACCAUAUAGUAGAACAACGUUCAUGUGAAAAUGCAAACUAAUUUUAAAAGACAAACUUACAAUCAACAUAUAGGAAAGCCACUUCAUUCACCAUUAGUGUUCAACAAUCCAAUUAUUAGUUAUUCCCUUUUUUUUUCAUUUUGAGAUUAAAAACUUAAGUUAGGACUCAUUAUCCUAUUAACCCCCCUAUAUAUGCAUGUACUUACUGAAAAUAGUACAGAAAGAAUCCAUGUGUAAACUAUUAUAAACCGGUGCUGAACUAAUUUUUCAACUUCAGAGAACUAUACAUUCUCCUAGCAGCACUUUAAACUUUUACUAGUUCAUUGUAUAUGGGCUAUUAUCAAACCCAACAAUAGAUUUCUGACUAAUCACAAGAACCUGAUCGUAAACUUUAGUUACACAUAUGAGCUUACUAUUUUACUCCCUCCGUUUCACAAUGUAAGUCUUUUGCCUAGAUUUAUAGGGAUGCUAAUGAAUCUAGACACAUAUAUAAAUUAUAUACAUUUAUCCAUGAAUGAAUCUAGGCAAGCCUAGAAAGACUUACAAUAUGAACGGAGGUAGUAAUAGUUUGCCACAAUGGCCCGAUCUUUGUCACUUGAGAAUAUCAAAUUUUCAUGAAAAGAAUAUUAAACAACCAUGUAAAAUGGAUAUUAGGCUAUUAUUGAAGCUUUCUUUAGGAGCUUUCUAAGAUACUAUAAAAUUAUGUAGUGAACUUUUACAACAUUUCAGGGACAGCUACACGAAUUUCCAGUCCACGUUAUACGCAACCCACUGAAAAUAUGUGCACCAAAAUAAAACAAUGUGAAAACCCAGCUUGCGAAACAUUUCUACUUGAUGAAACGCAAAAAUCAAUGCCAGAGCACAAUUUGCUAUUGGUGCUAGUAUCAACUCUAUCAUUAAAUUCCAUUCAGCGGUGCAUAUAUCUAAACUUGAAUAUGUAGAAAUGCUUAACAUGACCCUUAUUGUGAACAUGUACAAGAACCACCUCAGGGAUGUGGAAUCGAGCUCUGUCGUGAAGGCUUUAGCCAAGUAGGUGUUCAUCUCGGUGACCCGUGUUGGAGGAUGGUUCACCACAGUCUCCCAUGUCCUGCAAGAUUGAGCAUUUUUGUUUUGAUCAAUCACCUAGCUGCUAUGAGGAAAUGCUUAUAAACGUAAACUACGAUAUGCAUAUGCAAACACAUAUAAAGGUUGAUUAAAUUCUUUUUGGAAUGUCUCGAGCAAUUAUAAGUGUAGGUGAGUUUGCUGUAAUAGUUGCCUAGCACCUACUGUGUUCGUUUUCAUGUAAAUAUCAUCGACCAAAAAAUGGAAACAGGAAUUCAUAAAUUUCCAUCCAAAUCGUGACUUUUGGAUACUGCGUGCGUACAUUCUUGAUGGAACACUUAACUUUCAAUCCAAGAGCUGAAUAUGAUUAGCAUCCAUGGCAAAGAGGAUAAAAAUGGAUCAUAUAUCCCACAAAAACCAUCUUCUCAUAUAAUGACACUGAUAUUAGGUAGGUCUCGUUGGUUGAUUUAUUCGGUUAGACACCGGAUAAAAGAAAUUAGAGAUAGAGACCGGUUUAAGAAAUUCGGAAUCCUCCUUAACCGUUUUUCUACCGUGUCCUACUCCUACUCAAACAAGAACUUCGUGUCCUACUCUGACAAGAAAAGAAGAGAUAGAAUAGGAGUUUAUUUCGGUGAUCGGUAGAUUCAAAACUCCCUACUAAAUUCGAGAUUACCCGAGCCCUACCAGUGCCAUAUAAAUAGAGGUACCAGUGCCAUAUAAAUAGAGGGACAGAGGAGGAGGGGACGCCCAAGUCGUCUGUUCCAAAAUCAAAACCCUAAUCACCCGAUCGAUUAGGCACCGGAAGGGGGUCGUUACGUGAUCUCAAAGAAGGCGCAGACGCAAAUUCAAGAAGGGAAGCCCUACUGCUACACCUACGCCGUCCACGCCUACUGCGAGGGAGAACAGAGAAGAAGAGAGGAAAGAACAGAGCAAGAAGAUCAAUUCGAAUUCGAUCCAUGCUUCUCAAACAGGUCAGAAUAUUCAAUCUUAUUUUCGCGUUAGCAGAGGUGAUCAAUAUUAGGCUAAGGUUAGAAAUUAACGUUGGAUAAAAUAACCCAACAUUGUGGUAUCAGAGCUUAACUUAGCCUUAAUUGGUCCCAUCAUCCCUGGGAGAAGCCAUCUAAUCUUUGAAUUGAUCCACUUUUGGUGCAAAGAAUUUAUUUCAGAUCGUAUUUUAUUUUUUAGGGUUCAUAUUCACUGUUCCCACACUGUUCACGCACUGUUUAGAUUCAAUUUCUGUUGUAAUUUGUCAAAUUUCACUCUCAAUCAGUACUAGCAGCAGAAGGAUUUGCAUUUAUUUUGCGCAAAAUUCGUCCAAAAAAAACACUCAGCUGCGAAACCCAAAUUUCAAGAAAAUCCCCAAAUUCCCCGAUGAAUAGGAACCCUAGAAUCCCAAAACAUUCAAACUUUGAUUCGGAUCGGAUUAGUUUAUUACCGAUUUGAAGUAGCAACCGCAUCAGCGUCGUCGUGCGGGCAUCAGUGCCGCCCGCACUCGCCGGCGUGCGGGCUCGUCUCCUCCCUCCAUGGCCACGCGGCUUCGCCCCCUCGGUGCUGCGUCUCCGGCUCACCGAAUGCCGCCCUCGCCGCCGCUUCUUCCCGACGCUGUCGGCGCAGCAGCCGCUGUCGCCGUCGCCGCCUUACCGCCGUCGGUGCGCGGUCGAUCCAGCCCGCUGCCGCCGCAAGCUGGGGCCGGCGCCGCCUCCACGGGCUAGCACGACCUCCUGUCUUUCUCUUGGCGCUAGCCAUCGCCGUCGCUGCCCACCGCCCGCCGCCGGCACGCCGUCGAUCUAGCCCUCCGCCGCCGUUAUUAUUAUUAUUAUUUUUUGCUAGGGUUUAAGUUUU
rnacentral:lncRNA from 1 species